GACGAACGCUGGCGGCGUGCCUAACACAUGCAAGUCGAACGGAAAGGCCCUGCCUUUGUGGGGGGCUCGAGUGGCGAACGGGUGAGUAAUACGUGAGUAAACUUCCUGUGACUGGGGGUUAACUUCCGGAAACUGGGGCUAAUACCCGUUAGGACCUCCGGCUGCAUGGUGGGGGUUGGAAAGCUUCGGCGGUUGGGGAUGGACUUGCGGCUUAUCAGCUUGUUGGUGGGGUAGUGGCUUACCAAGGCUUUGACGGGUAGCCGGCCUGAGAGGGUGACCGGCCACAUUGGGACUGAGAUACGGCCCAGACUCCUACGGGAGGCAGCAGUGGGAAGUAUUGCACAAUGGGCGGAAGCCUGAUGCAGCAACGCCGCGUGCGGGAUGACGGCCUUCGGGUUGUAAACCGCUUUCGCCUGUGACGGAGCGUGAGUGACGGUAAUGGGUAAAGAAGCACCGGCUAACUACGUG
rnacentral:rRNA from 1 species